AUUAAUUAUUGGUGAUUUUGAAACCUGGGAUGACCUUGUUGUAAUAUUUUUGCUAUCAGUUGGUUCAUUCUUCAUUUUGUAAUUGGGUUACGAAUUGAGUUUGUUUGAAUUGUAUUGGUGAUCUUAGAGGUUUUAUUUUAUUAGAGAAUUUAGUGAUAAACCAGAAAAUUAGAAGAAUUUAUUCAAGGUGACGAUGAUAAUUGGUUUUCUUUAUUUUAGUUUAAGAGUUGGUCGAUCCCCUUUUUUGGUUAUUGUACUUUUCCAGGGUAUCAAAAAGUGUAUUAAUGUUAUUUAUUCACUUAGGGACUUAAGCGUGUUUCCUUGCAUUUGUCUUGUAAUUAUGCUGGUAUUUUUUUUUUCCCGUAAUGGUAAGUUAGUUAACUGGGUGUUAAGAAAUAAGAAGUAUAUUUAUGUUUUUUUUUCUAAUAUUUUUUUUUAGAAGCUCUACUUAUUCUUUUUCAUUUUGGAAAAAUCAACCAAUGAUCUUUAGAACUAACAUAGAUGGGUUUUCAUGGCUUCUUUCCAUAGGAAGCGCAAGUUUGUUUUCUGGUUGCAAGAUCUGUCAAUGGAAUAUUUGUAGAGAUGCAUGUGGGAUAGUUAAAAUGUUACAUGCCCCAUUUCCUAAUAGCUUUAUCAGUAUGUGCUGUUAAGGAUUUACGCAUACCUACUUGAAUUUUGAUCUAUUAAUGGAAUAUUUGUAGAGAUGCAUGUGGUACAAUUAAAAUGUUACAUGCCCCCAUUUCCUGAUAGCUUUAUCAGUAUGUCGGUGGUGCUGUUAAGGAUUUUGGAGGUUGUUCUGUACUUCUACACCCAACAUUUCCAAUCCCUUAAUUUCCACAAGGAUAUUGCCUUAUAAAUGUGUUUCUUUAUGGUUCGAGAUUGAGCAUCUCUUCAUAGUUGUUGCGUUUCUAAGAUUGAGGUUGUUUAGAUUUUGGUUGCAAAUGUUCUUAGAAUUUUAUUUAUUUUGUUCUUUUCCUUUAAUAUUUUCUUGAAAAAAAUAUUGCCAGCUGGGCUUUUUAAUAUUUCAGUUUAGUUAAUUAUUGAAAUUCAUAUUCCUGUCUUAAGAACCAAUUUCAAUGACUUUGUUUGAAUGUUCAAAUAUUUGUGUAGGGUGGUAUGCGAGUUUACAUUUGUGAGCAUGACACAUCACUGCCAAGUAUCCGUGUUCUCUAAACCUUUUGUAUAUAUUUCUCAACUUUUGAUGAGCUUACAAAGCAUUACUCUGUAUUCUGAUUGCUGCAUGUUUCUACUCUUUCUUCCUUUGUUUUAAAAGAACCCUAACGUGUGAUGUUGUCAGAUUCACAUUUUUACAUCAUUAAUUAGAUACAAAUCUAUUAUAGGUACAUAUAUGGAAAGGAUAAAUUUACCAUGUUAGAAUUCUCUUAUUUCAUAUUUUGGAGUCUAUUAUUCAUCAUUCUACUUUAAUUUGUGGAAUUUCUGAAGGAAAGGCUGUGGUGAAAAUUUACUGAUCGAUCAUUGUUAUAAGAUCAUUUUUCAUUCUAACACUUACUUGUUCCUCC
rnacentral:lncRNA from 1 species